UACGUAGGGGGCAAGCGUUGUCCGGAAUUAUUGGGCGUAAAGAGCUCGUAGGCGGCUUGUCACGUCGGGUGUGAAAGCCCGGGGCUUAACCCCGGGUCUGCAUUCGAUACGGGCUAGCUAGAGUGUGGUAGGGGAGAUCGGAAUUCCUGGUGUAGCGGUGAAAUGCGUAGAUAUCGGAAGGAACAUCAGUGGCGAAAGCGACUUCCUGGACCAGUACCGACGUUCAGGCACGAAAGCGUGGGGAGCAAACAGG
rnacentral:rRNA from 1 species